ACAUUGUCAAAACAUAUAUCUACUCACCUUAGUCUUUGUAAGUAUACUAGAUUGUCAGGAAAACAAAUACACAAGUUUUCACAGUGAUGGAGAAAAUUUCAUUCAAGUCUGCUUUCAUCAUCCUUUUAGCUUUUACUAUGGUGAUAUCCAUAACAGUUCAGAUUGGUGAGGCGAAACGUAUGUUACAAGAAGAAAAGUCUCUGCCGUUAUUGGAUCUUCAAGUUUCCAAGCUGGUUAACCCACAAAUGGUUGGAUUUUGCAAAGAACCUUGCAAACCCUUAUGCUUUCAAUUCAGUUGUCACUGUGUAUGCCCUGAGCCACCAACACUAUAAACUAUGAUCAGAUCAACUAAUGAAUAAAAAAUAUUUGUUUUAACAUUGCUUUUUAACACUUUUGAUUAUUUAAAAAUAUUAAGAAACUCUUAAUUGAUUUAUAUGAAAAAUAGGUUUUUACAUACAUUGACUAACAUUGACCCAAAUUCUGUAAUUUAACUGUUUAUCAGUGGUGGUAUGGCAAUGAUAUAUCAUAUGAAUCAGUUUAAAAUAUUUGUAAUACAAAAUGACAUUGCUUCGUUAAUUAUAUUAAAAUAAAUAAAUUUAAAAGGAAAAUGUGCAGUUGACUAGAAUCAAAUAACCGUUACAGAGAUUUGUUCUUUAAACCAGGUAUAGAAUAUAUAUAGUAAGUAUAGCUUUGUUUUAACCGUUACAAAGCUAAGAAAACUUUGUUUUGCCCAGAACCGUUACUUAGUUUUCUAUUAUUAUAUAUAGUCAACUAUUUUCUUAAUGAGAUUUGAUCUUUCAGAAAAUUUUUAUUUUCUUAUCACAUUUUUCUAUUCUAUAAAAACGUUAUACAUUGUCCAGAAUAUAUACCAUUCACCUUGUUUUCGUUUAAAAAAACACACAAUUUUCUGCAGUGAUGGGUUCAUUCAAGUAUGCUUUCAUCGUCCUUUUAGUUCUUACUGUGGUGAUAUCAGUAACAGUUCAGAUUAGUGAGGCGAAACUUAUGUUACAAGAAGAAAAGUCUUUGCCAUUAUUGGAUCUUCAAGUUUCCAAGCUGGUUAACCCACAAAUGGUUGGAUUUUGUAAGGAACCUUGCAAACCCUUAUGUUUUCAAUUCAGUUGUCAUUGUGUAUGUCCUGAGCCACCAAAACUAUAAACUAUGAUCAACUAAUCUGAAAAAAAAUAUUUGUGUUAA